AUCCCUUCCGUAGGUGAACCUGCGGAAGG
rnacentral:rRNA from 1 species